rnacentral:rRNA from 1 species
AGUGAACGCUGGCGGCGUGCCUAACACAUGCAAGUCGAACGAUGAUGGAGAGCUUGCUCUCCUGAUUAGUGGCGCACGGGUGAGUAUACCAUAGAUAAUGUGCCCCUUAGUCUGGGAUAGCCACUGGAAACGGUGAUUAAUACGCAAUACUCCUUCUCAUUAUAAGAUGAGUCGGGAAAGUUUUUCGCGAAGGGAUCAGUUUAUGUCCUAUCAGUUAGUUGGUGGGAUAACGGCCAACCAAGACUACGACGGGUAUCUGGUUUGAGAGGAUGAUCAGACACACUGGAACUGAGACACGGUCCAGACUCCUACGGGAGGCAGCAGUGAGGAAUAUUGCACAAUGGAGGAAACUCUGAUGCAGCAACGCCGCGUGGAGGAUGACGCAUUUCGGUGUGUAAACUCCUUUUAAGAGGGAAGAUAAUGACGGUACCUCUUGAAUAAGCACCGGCUAACUCCGUGCCAGCAGCCGCCGCAG